rnacentral:rRNA from 1 species
GACGAAGGAUGCAAGCGUUAUCCGGAUUCAUUGGGUUUAAAGGGCGCGUAGGUGGCCUUAUAAGUCAGUGGUGAAAUCUCUGGGCUUAACCCAGAAAUUGCCAUUGAUACUGUAGGGCUUGAGUAUAGUUGCCGUUGGCGGAAUAUGACAUGUAGUGGUGAAAUACAUAGAGAUGUCAUAGAACACCGAUUGCGAAGGCAGCUAACGAAACUAUAACUGACACUGAGGCUCGAAAGUGCGGGGAUCAAACAGG